GACGAACCGUGCGAACGUUAUUCGGAAUCACUGGGCUUAAAGGGCGCGUAGGCGGGCGCGAAAGUCAGGGGUGAAAGCCCACGGCUCAACCGUGGAAGUGCCUCUGAUACUUCGGGCCUCGAGGGAGGUAGGGGCGUGCGGAACUUCCGGUGGAGCGGUGAAAUGCGUAGAUAUCGGAAGGAACGCCGGUAGCGAAAGCGACGUGCUGGACCUCAACUGACGCUGAGGCGCGAAAGCUAGGGGAGCAAACGGG
rnacentral:rRNA from 1 species